GCAGUCGUGGCCGAGUGGUUAAGGUGAUGGACUAGAAAUCAAUUGGUGUCCCCCGCACAGGUUCGAAUCCUGUUGACUGCG
rnacentral:tRNA from 2 species